UGCCAAGGUCGGAAACGGUGAUCCAGGGCUUGCUCUGGUGAUCAGUGGCGAACGGGUGAGUAACACGUGAGUAACCUGCCCUUGACUCUGGGAUAACUGCUGGAAACGGUGGCUAAUACCGGAUAUGAGGCCUUGCCGCAUGGUGGGGUCUGGAAAGAUUUUUUGGUCAGGGAUGGGCUCGCGGCCUAUCAGCUUGUUGGUGGGGUGAUGGCUCACCAAGGCGACGACGGGUAGCCGGCCUGAGAGGGCGACCGGCCACACUGGGACUGAGACACGGCCCAGACUCCUACGGGAGGCAGCAGUGGGGAAUAUUGCACAAUGGGCGCAAGCCUGAUGCAGCGACGCCGCGUGAGGGAUGGAGGCCUUCGGGUUGUAAACCUCUUUCAGCAGGGAAGAAGCGCAAGUGACGGUACCUGCAGA
rnacentral:rRNA from 1 species